GUACUGCAUUGAACCGCAUUGGUCUUUUAUUUUUUGAAAGCUUUCCAGAAUAUUAUCUUCUCUGGUUUAUAAUUUUUCCCUCACCUACUAGUUGAAUAACAGUUAAAAGGUCACAUCUUUCUCAUCCCAUCACCAAAGUAAACAUUUCUCCAAUUACCCAUGAAGGGCAAAUGCUUCCAAGGAAUUAUUUAUUGUUUAUUAACAAAAGGCAAAGGCUGUAAGAGAAGGCUCUGUGUCACACAUAUGAAUACUUGGCAGUAACAUUUAAGUAUCCCUAAGCUUAAAAAAAAAUAGAUAUCAUACCACAUUUACUGUAUUUCUAAGAAUUUGUUAGCCAACUGCCUGCUAAAGUGUAUCUAGAGUGGUUCUGAAGAGCUACUUCUUGGAAGUAUCACCUUCACAAUUCACUUGUUUUACAUAUGUCUAUUGCCUGGCUCUAUUAUAGACACCGGAAAUAUGCAGUAAACAAAAGAGACAAAAAUCCCUGUACUCUACAGCUGUGAAAAGAAAGUCUCAGUUUCUUUAACAGCUCCAGCUUAUUAGAAGUAAAUACAGUACAUAAGUGAUUACUUGACUCCAAAGAAAUCCAGGCUUUCGCAGUCAGACUGUAAACUUUCUGACCAGUACCCUUUUGGAAGGAAGCACUGAGAGGCAUCCUCUCCAAACUCCUCCUCCGCCCAGAUCAGUGUUUGUUAAACUCUUCAAUAUUUUAUUGUAACUGUAGAUGGCCCAUUUCUGGACAAACACCGUCUGGGUCCCUGGAAUUAUUUUCUUAUAUACGGCACUUUGUCAGGUUUACCUGAUUGUCCACAUGCAACAACCGUUCUUUAAGCUUCUCUGAUACAAGAAAAAGUCAUUUUAAGUAAUUGAAAUUGUAUCAAGUUAAGUAAGGAAAUAUUCUGACUUUGUUGUACCUAGGUUGGUCAUGUAACUACAAUGCUAUGGAAUGGCUAGAUUAGGGAGUAAACUGGGAGAAGCCCAGGAAGUCCCAUCUAUACAACUCCCCUCUCCUUUCCCCUCAAUUUAUCUCUUCCACUCAGAUGCCUCACCGCAAGAAACAAAUCCACCAUAGGACUGGUUAUUACUCUGUACAGAAUUGCCUUCUCCAGGUAUCAUUGUUCGUAUAUGUAGACACCUCUUAGAGGGAUAUCAGAUUCUGCUAACAGUCACUGCAUCUGGAAGACUGAAGGAAACUAACACGAAAUAGUUUGAAUUGUGUGGUAGGCGCUUUACAUGUUACAUUGAUUAAUUCCUACAACACUCUCUAUGAGUAGGUUUUCUCAUGUUAUAGAUGAGCAAUCCAGGAUUCAGGGAGGCUCAAUGAUAAGCCCCCAGAUCACACACCCUUCCAGGGCUGCAGCCAAUAGUCAAAUGUAGCCUUUUUCUCCCUUAGUCUGCAUAUGUUUAUCGAAUUCCUCACCUCUGUGGCACACAAAACCUAAAGAUAGCCUCAAGAGUGAUGACUGCCUGGCAAGGGGGUUGAAAGUGGGGGAAAGAACAGAGACAUGAAAUGAGAGACAAAAAGGAAGCAACUUGCUGACAUUACAGUUUUCUCUGAGGUCAGAUCCAGCGCAGAGCUACAUUCUUACUGCUUUGAUAAAAUUCCUGAUUCUCAGAAAUACUGACUCGGCAGGACCUUAGAGGUCAUGUAGCCCAACCCACCAUUAAAAGCUUUAUUCAGUCAUUAACUCACUUUAUUACUGUUGGUGAUCUGGGAAGUAGUGUCACUGACUUGGCAAGUGAGCACAUUUCUCUGAACCACAGUUUUCCACUAUCUCAUCGUGGGCUUGUCUAGAGAGAUUUGACUUUAAAUAAUAAGAAUUCUUUACAUCUAUUUUGCUUUUCACAAUUGUCAAAAUGCUUUCGUUCAUAUACCCUAUGCCCUUUAAACUCUCGUUUCUGUGAUAAAGAGGGGCGAGUACAUUUUAUGGUGGGAAAAACUGGGAGCUAGACCAGAUUGAUCUGGGUUCAAACUUCCACUUUGCAAUAUACCAGCCACGUGAACUUGGGCAGACCAUUUACUCUCUUUAAGCUUCCUUAGGUAGGUUGCCUUUUUCUUUAUGCCUCCAAGUUCUCAUCAGUAAACUGGGGGUCAAUAAUACUUCCCACGCAUGGUUGAACUAAGGAUUAAGAGAGGUUACAUAUGUAAUGUGUGUGCACAGGGAAGGCACUCAGGGUUGGUUGCUUUUCUCUUUCCUUUUCUUUUUACAGCUGAAAACUAGAGAAGAGGUAAAGCAAUGCUUCCCAGAUAAAACUGCCAGUGAUUGGUGAACUGAGGCCAAGCCUUUUUACUGCGACUCUAGGCUCUUUGUACUACACCAUCCUAUCUGGAAUAACUUUCUUUUCCUUCUUUACUCUUUUGAUUUGUACACACCUUACCCUUUUUAGCUAACUUCACUGUAGUGCAAACUCUUCACUCCCUUUCUCUACUCUAGGCCUUCUGCUUCGCUGUUUCUUCUUCUCGUGGUGCUGUCCUCCUGCUAGUUUCUGUGCAUAUUGCCUCUUGCUAGUUUCCUGUGUGUUUUAUAUGCUCAUUGGAAGUUUAAGACAAAUGAACAAGAUGCUUUCAUCCAUUUCCCUCAAAUGCAAAAUCUGGUUCUCAUAUGAAAGACCGAGCAGCUGUGGUGGCAUCCAGGCAGAUGGGCUCUGAGUUCCCUGGCUUCUGGUGCCCGGGUGUGACGUGCUGCGGCUGCCUUCCGGAUUUUGAUGACUGCUCCCCUGGCCCUGCAGCUUCCCCAACACUCCUCUAACAAACUCUGAUUUAAACAGCCCUACAUUCAGCCUUUCACAUACCCUUGUAACACACAGAACUGGUGCAGCCCAUUGGGAGCUCAAAUGAAUCACUGCUGAAGGAAUUGGUGUUGUUAAAGAGGUCAUUCUUCCAAGGCUAUACAGAAAUACAGGCAACUCUUCUAAAACUAUCUUUAUUUAGGUCAUUCAAAAUGCAUAGUCACAAUGUCAAACUGGAGUGAAAAAUAAAUGUGGAGGCAAGCAGACUUAUAAUACAGCAUGCACACAUAUUUGUGCAGAACGCAUAAUAAAAAGAUACUUGUCACUCAUUUCCUUUAUCAUAAAUUCAAGUAGUACAAUUGGAAUAUUACCCAGCCCAGAGAAAAUAUAGUAUCACAGAUCUGAGAAAAUUCUCAAGAGAUCAUCUUGUCAACCUACCUAUUUCUCUCUAAGCAGAGGAUAUGUCUAAACUAAUCAGAAUCGAGAGUUAAUGUUCUCUUAUUGAAAAUUUCUAUUCCCCUAUGAAGCCUAUUUACAUAUCUGAAAUUGUUUUCUUACCACCACACGACAAUCUCUUGGGAAGUCUCACAAAUAAGUGGGAUCAUAUUUGUUUUCCUUCCUGAGGAAGGCUCUAGGGAUACGAUCUUAGAAAGCUUGUCAAGAAACCCUAUGUCACAUCCCUAUUCUAUCUGUUGCAGGCUGCCCCUCUCCUUGCCCUAGUGGGUGUUCAGGUGCUCGCCCAACCAGCCCCGUUGGUGCAAGGCUGAGCCCAUACUAAUACCUCUUGUCUGCAGGACCACUGCCCUGGCCAAGCCCUCAAGCAAUGCAAGAAGGGAAAGGACAAACUCCCCACUGAGCAAUAGAGCCGGUCCCCUGGAUCCCACUGCUUUCAGGACAGUGUGCCUCUCCCACACCCCCCUCCUUUCUCAUGCUGGCGUCUUCUCAGCUGAGCAAGGCAAGACCAUCAAAUCAAGUCACAUCAAAUCAAAUCAAAGAGAAGAAAGCAAUACUGCAGACCACGUGUUGGAGCGUGAGAACACAAGGAGCCUCUUCUGUGCCCUGCCUGACCACCUGCCACACUUUUAACUUCUUUACACAGUUGCCAGGACUUAUUUGAAAGGGUGGCUCAAGUUUAUCUCCUUUCCCUGGAUUCCCAUCUCUCCAGAAAAAUCCAGAGUGACAGUAACAUAACCUUUGUGGAGAAACAAAAUAUCAAUAUUUUCCUCAAACACUUUUAAAAUAUGCUUAUCAACAACUGCAGGAAAGAGGGAAUAACAGUCUGCCUAAAUACCUGGCUUAAUCAUUUUGCGAGCCAAUUAUGGAAAAAGAAAUCUAAUUUUACUUUUAUCAAGAAGAACAAAAAGGAAGUCAUUAGGUAAUAUUCAGCUUUAAGAAUUGGAAUCUGGGGUGGGCACAGUGGCUCAUGCCUAUAAUCUCAGCACUUUGGGAGGCUGAGAUGGGAGGAUCACUUGAGCCCAGGAAUUCACGACCAGCCUGAGCAACAUGGCAAAACCCCGUCUCUACUAAAAAUACAAAAACUAGCCGGGCGUGGUGGUGCAUGCCUGUAGUCCUAGCUACUCUGGAGGCUGAGGUGGGAGGAUCAUUUCAGCCCAGGGGGCAGAGGUUGCAGUCAGCAGAAUGCACCACUGCACUCCAGCCUGGGCAACAGAGCAAGUCCCUUUCUCAAAAAAAAAAAAAAAAAAAAAAAAAAGAAUUAGAAUCUACAACAUCACUGGGGCAAGCCUUGUCCUCACCAGGAACUAUUCACCUCACACCAAUACAGGAAUUACACCCGAGGGAUACUUCCAGGGCCCCAGCCUCCCCCACCCCCAGGAUGGCAUCCACUCUCCAUGGACCCUGCCACUUGACAUGAUUGCUUGCUCCUAGUCUGUAAGUCUAGUUAGAGCCCCAUUAAUAUUUGAUGUUUCUCAUAAACACAAAUACACGUUUUUAUUCUUUUACUUUCUCUUGUUUCUGUCUCCUAAAGUGCCUCAUCUUCCCCACCAGGGCCUGAGAUUUUGUCACCCAGACUCUGGGUGACAAAACCGUUUAGUUCUCUUGGCUUCUACCUGACCCAGCACAGCCCAGGUGCACACCCAAGGCCUACAUUCUUGGUCUUGCUCCUCAGGAGCUUCCUGUGUAUUAACCUGGCUCCAUAAGGUUUUGAGCAAAAGGUGAUGAGGCUCUCUCGGGAUGAGGAUGGAUUUCCAGGAUAGUUAAGAGUACAGGGUCAUAUGGGACAUUAUCUCCUCAGUUGGACUCUGCCUAGAUUCCAGUCCUUCCAAGGAGACUAUGAGUGAUCCUAACCUCGUCCUUAACUCCCCUAAAAAGAGAAAUAAAUUGGAUGUAUAUUAGUCUGCUAGGGUUAUCAUAACAAAAUACCACAGACUAGGUGGUUUAAACAACAGAAAUUUAUCUUCUUACAGUUCUGGAGGCAAGAAGUCCAAGAUCAAGGUGUCUGCAGGUGUGGUUUCUUCUGAAGCCUCCCUCCUUGGCUUACCUUCUUUCAUGGCAUUUCCUCAUAUAGCAUUUCCUAUGUGUGCACACACCCCUGGUGUCUCCUGUGUGCAUCCAAAUGUUCUCUUUUAUAAGGACACUAGUCAGAUUGGAUUAGGGUCCAAUCCAAUGGCCUCAUUUUUUUUUUUUUUUUUUUGAGACAGAGUUUCACUCUUGUUGCCUGGGCUGGAGUGCAAUGGUGCAAUCUUGGCUCACUGCAACCUCUGCCUCCUGGGUUCGAGCGAUUCUCCUGUCUCAGCCUCCUGAGUAGCUGGGAUUACAGGCGCCCGCCACCACUCCUGGCUAAUUUUUCUAUUUUUAGUAGAGAUGGGGUUUCAUCAUAUUGGUCAGGCUGGUCUCGAACUCCUGACCUCAGGUGAUCUGCCUACCUCGGCCUCCCAAAGUGCUGGGAUUACAGGCGUGAGCCAACGUGCCCAGUAAUGGCCUCAUUUUUAAUGUAAUCACCCCUUUAAAGGCCCCAGCUCCAAUUAUAGUCAUAUUCUGAGAUACUGGAGGCUUCACAUAUAAAUACAGAGGGGUCACAAUUCACUCCAUAAUGGGUGGAUUUGCUACCUUCUGAUAUGAAGGGCCCUUAUGGGGCAGAUUUUAUGCUACACUGUCUCAGAUGCAGUUGUCAUGUCCAGUUCCUAGGUGGCUGCCUUUGGCUUGGCAUCCAUGUCUGGUGAAGCCAGUUAUGGUGAGGGCACCAAGUUGGUUUCGCUCAAAACAUAGCAUAAGCAAUAGCAACUGACGCAAGAAAGAACUGGUUUGGGCCACUUUCCUUAAAAGGGUGCUUCAGGUGUGGCGGGUGUUCCUGGAUUCCUGCAGUACAAGCAGAGAAUCCACGUGGCUGCCAGUUGCUGGAAGCAGAGCUGGUGCUCCUUUUCUCCCCACCUGCCCAGGUCUCAGCCUCUGGGAUGUGAAAGCAGGACUGCAUCUUCCCCACCCAACCUCAACUAGGCCCUUUCCAGGCCUGGCACCUGUUCACCUGUUGGGGGUUAGUAAGAUCCAUGCUGGGAAAGGGGAGAGGGACCAACAAAUGAGACUCUUCCCAGAAGCACCUCUGGCUGCUGGUCAGAUGGCCAGGUUAUGUCUAGCUUGAGAGGCUGGAGGCAGAAAGACUUGGACUGCUGCCAUAAUAACCUGCACCUGGGCCAGCAGAUGCCUUCUCUCCUGGGGGACCUCUUGGGCUGCUCCUCUCCUGGUGCUCAGAUGACCAGCAAUCAUACAGACCGCCCCACCAGGGAGCAGAAAGCCAGGGAGCUGCCCCUUCUUUGGUUCUCAUUGAGAGUCUUACCCCAGCCCUAGCCCCUGGUGCCUUCCUGCCUAACCUCAACUGCUCCUGCUGGGGUCCUGGUGUUGUUUGAAAGGGGAAAAGACCCCCCAAAAAUUUAUCCAAAAUGAAAAAACAAAUGAGCGGAGGCCCCACCUGCUAACCAGGCCUGAAUGCAGCAUUUGUUGAGAGCUGGUACCUGCUUUUACUUACUUAUCUGCUGUUUCCAAAGCUGAAUCUUUGAGGUGAGGAACCAGGCCUACAGAAUCACAUUCAUUCAUACAGGAAGGAGGAGAAGGGGUCUUUCAGGGAAUCUUGACCCUAUGGGUUCCAAUGCCUGGCAAAUGGCAUUAAGUUUGCCCUUUGGAACCCAGGGGCAGUGGGGAUAUUUAAAUAUGUAGGUGGCCCUGGCUAUGAGAAACCAUCUGAUGACAAGUCCCUGGUUCUCCUCUUAGGAGAUGCGGACGAUACUGCCAGGGUAAUCCAAAUCCCAAAGUGAUGCUUCUUUGAAAUUGCAAAGCUACCACCACUUUAUCACAAACUUCUGAAGCAGUAGUUUUGCCUCGUGUUCAAUUUAAGGUUCAAAAAUUCCUUUCAAGCUGUUUUGUUUGGAUCAUGUUUUUGUCUGCCAGGCAUCUCUCCUUUUGGAGAAAUGCCACUUCCUCACAAUCUGUGAUUCCAGGAAAAGCUAUGAAUAAUGGGGCCCUACCCCUUCAAUCACAGUCCCCACUCAGACCACCCUCACUCCCAGGUAUCUGAAUCUAGAGUGGGAACACAGAGGGUAAGAAGGCAGGUGGGGCUGGGCUGUUUCACAGAACUUCUGCACUGGAGGAAGCCAUCACAGGCAUCAUUACCACCUUGUGUUACAGAUGAGAAAACGGAGACUCAGAAAAUUAAAUGUCUUCUCCGACACUGCCCAAGGUCCCUGGCAGAGCCAGGAUUUAAACCCAGGUCUGUGUGACCCCAAAGUUCACGAUCGUUCCACUCACCAAAAUAGUCACCAUGUGCAAAGCACUUAUUAGGGGGAAACAGCUUUAGAGCUUGCCCAUUUCACUCAGUGAAUUAGAUGCAGAGGCAUAUGUGACAUUCAGUUAUUUCUCAUUUGCAUGCACAGGAUCAUGGUCUUUCAUCUCCCCACCUUGCUGCAAUUCCCUGCAUCAGCUCACCAUUGUGGUCCUCACACGCCCUACCAUUUGCCAAUGAAGGGGUUUUAGUUUUUCUCAAGACACAUUUUUCUGUGUUUUCAGGUCUGCCUUCAUCUUCAUCUUCAUGAGACAGGCACUAGCCUAUGUGUGUCCUCUAUUUUCCUGAAUUGUUCUUUUCUCAACCAAUUACUGCAUCCCCUUGGAGUCCCCCCACCCCCACCUCCAACUGCCUAUAAAAGCAGGCUAGAAGCCAGGGUUUCCCUGUAAAUACUGAAAUUGUUCUUCCAUUUUGCCAUUACACAUUAUGCUUUAACCAAAUAAAGCAUGUCUGCUGAGGACACUGGAGCCUCUUCCGAGAUAGUUUAUUUUCCUAUGACCUGCGAGCUUCUUUCUUCCUGAUGAAUCAGCACCGCCG
rnacentral:lncRNA from 1 species